GAGGCGCGAAAGCGUGGGGAGCGAACAGGAUUAGAUACCCUGGUAGUCCACGCCGUAAACGAUGAGUGCUAAGUGUUAGAGGGUUUCCGCCCUUUAGUGCUGCAGCAAACGCAUUAAGCACUCCGCCUGGGGAGUACGGUCGCAAGACUGAAACUCAAAGGAAUUGACGGGGGCCCGCACAAGCGGUGGAGCAUGUGGUUUAAUUCGAAGCAACGCGAAGAACCUUACCAGGUCUUGACAUCCUUCGCUACUUCUAGAGAUAGAAGGUUCCCCUUCGGGGGACGAAGUGACAGGUGGUGCAUGGUUGUCGUCAGCUCGUGUCGUGAGAUGUUGGGUUAAGUCCCGCAACGAGCGCAACCCUUGAUCUUAGUUGCCAGCAUUCAGUUGGGCACUCUAAGAUGACUGCCGGUGACAAACCGGAGGAAGGUGGGGAUGACGUCAAAUCAUCAUGCCCCUUAUGACCUGGGCUACACACGUGCUACAAUGGAUGGUACAAAGGGCUGCGAGACUGCGAAGUUAAGCGAAUCCCAUAAAACCAUUCUCAGUUCGGAUUGCAGGCUGCAGCUCGCCUGCAUGAAGCUGGAAUCGCUAGUAAUCGCGGAUCAGCAUGCCGCGGUGUUUUCGUUCCCGGGCCUUGUACACACCGCCC
rnacentral:rRNA from 1 species